rnacentral:lncRNA from 1 species
UAAAUUCCCAAGAAUUCAAACUUAGAUUUUUAGAGUCCAGCUUACUAUUUAUAAAUGAGGAAAGUAAGACAAAAAGUAAUUCAGUUUUUUUUUUUUUUUUUUUUUCCUAAGGACAUGGAACUUGAGCAGCAGAAACAGGACCGAAACCUGGCUCUUCCCUUAUGCCACAGUCUUUCUAUAGAGAAGUUAAGUAAGAGGGCUUUGGGUCAAGAUUGUGACUGGAUUCAAAUCCUAAAGUUUUCACUACAUUGUGUGCCCGUAGAGCGGAAGCCAAGGGCCACCACUCCUUGUUAGAAUUUGCAACAAGAAGCAAGUGCUUCUUUCUCCAGCCAAAUACUGCGAAAAGUGCAGCGGAUCAGAGAAUCCAUGUUGACCAAAUGCACCAGCACAAAAGUGGAAUUGAAUCUUCUCUAAAAGAGAGCAAAGGAUUUUUUGACAAACUCCAUAACGAAGUUAAUAGUUAACUGGAGUGACUCAUGCCUGCAGUCCUAGCUACUCAGGAGGCUAAGGUAGGUGGACUGUUUGAGUCCAGGAGUUUGAGACUGCAGUGAGGUAUGAUUGCACCACUGCACUACUGCCUGGGCAACAGAACAAGACCUUGCCUGUAAAAUAAAUACAUAAAUAAUUUUUUAAAAGAAAUUAGUAAGACUUUGGAAAAGAUCUGUCGCUAUGAAAAGUACAUCAACCAUCAGCUUGAGCACAUGGUUCAAGAAUAUCCUGCAGCUCAAACCUAGCUGAGUGACGUAAGGAGCCGGCAGGGAAAUGGUGGAGUAAUUGAAAGGAACAGACUUCUGUCUGAGGUUACAGAAGACAGAACAUGUAAAACUAGAAAUGGAAGAAAAGUGCAGCAGCAUGACUGGUGGUGAUUCUUUGGUUAAGAUUAAAUAGAGCUUAACAAAACUGAAGCAAGAAACUGUUCAGAUGGACAGUUGGAACUGAUGUUGUGGAACACACAUUACUGCAAUCAAAACUGGAGAAGUCCAGUGUGAUUAAGGACAUGCACGUGAGAGUUAUUCCAGAAUCAGCAAUAGAUUCAUAUUAAAACAGGGGUUUUCAUGCUUCUGAUUAGUUUUUUUUUUUUAUUUGUAAUUACAUCUCAUGUUGCAUAGAUUUCAAAACAUAAUUAUACCUCUUAUGGCAUGUUCAAUGGGUAUUUUUUAUACGUACACACACAUAUUCUAUCAUGGUGAUUAUGAUGGUUAAAGCCUUUACAUUGAAUAUAAUGCUUAAUAAAAUAAAAAUUUUUUUUUCAAAAAAGGAGCACUCAACAAACGUAUAGGGUAGACGGGCAUAGUAGCUCACGUCUGUAAUCCCAACACUUGAGAGGCCAAGGUGAAAGGAUCCCUUGAGUCCAGGAGUUUGAGACUACCCUGAGCAACAUAGCAAGACCUUGUCUCUAUAAAUAAAUAAAUAGCCAGGCACUGUGGUGUGCACCUGUAAUGUGAGUGCUACGCUACAGCUACUUGGGAGGUCUAGGCAGGAGGAUCACUAGAGACUAGGAGUUCGAGACUACCCUGGGCAACAUAGGAAGAACUUGUCUUUAAAAAAAAAAAAGUUCCCUGCCUGGUGGUGUGUGUCUGCGGUCAUAGCAACUCAGGAGGUUGAGGCAGGAGGAUCACUUGAGCCCAGGAGUUUUAGGUUACAGUGAGCUAUGAUCACAUCAUUGCACUCCAGCCUGGGCAACAAAGUGAGACUCUGUCUCUAAAAAUGUAAAAAUAAAAAUACAAUUAAAAAAAGAAUAAGUACAUAAUUUUAAAAAAAAGAGAGAUUUAUAGGACACAAGAGGAGAAGCCACUUCUCUGGAGGAUUUGGAAACUAAAGUGAGCAAACAUGAGAUUCAUAGUCGCUGUCAUGAGAGUUCUUGACAACUACCUGCCAUAGUGUUUCAGGCUGAGCUCUUGAGUUUUGAACUCCCUGACCUUUGUUUUUUUAGGUCUUCCAACAGUUGAAUAAGCUCAUAAAUAUUAUAAUAAACUUAAUAUCUUAAUUACAUGAAGUAACUUCUGUUUUCCUAGAUGAUUUCUGAUUGAUAUAAUAUAGAAAAUGUAUUUGAUAAAAUUCAACAUCCAAUCCUUAAUAAAAAAAUAAAACCCGUAAUAAACUAAAAAUAGAUAUUUAAAAAUAUGAUAAUAGAUUCAUUAGGUUCUAUCAUGUUUAAUGAUAAAACAUUACAGGCAUUCCAGUAAAAGUCAGAAAUAGUACAUGAUGCCUGCUAAUACCACUAUUAUUUGCUGAUGUAUUUCUGUAAACUUUAGUCCACAAACAACAGGGUGUAAUUAGAGGAUAGGAUAACAAAAUAUUCAUUAUUGUCAGAUGUGAUUUUCUUUUACUCUAUAAAACCCAAAUGAAUUAAAAUCAGUAGAAACUUAUGAAUUUUUCCUCAUGCCAACAAAAACAAAGUCCAGUUAGGAAAUGUGGUGGGAAAAAUUUAAAAUAGUAAUAUAUAUGCACACACAUAUGUAUGUGCAUACCUAUUUAUAUCAUGAUCAAACUUAGCAAAUCCAUAGAAGGUUCAUGAAGUAAUCAAUAAAACUUUUCUUAGAGAGACAAGUCUUGAAUAAAUGGAAAGACACAUUACAUCCUUGGAUGUUGAAUAUUCAGUAUUAUGACGGUAUCGAGGGCCUUCAGAUUGAUUUUCACCAGACUAGUCAAUUAUACUGGUUGUGUUUCAAUUUUUUAAUAAACAGCAACAUUCAAAUUCUCACUCCCUCAACAAUAGCAUAAAAUGUUUAUGGUGUCUUUCUAGUGUUUUAAAUUAGAAAAAAAAAUGGCCAUUGUUCUCAGCCUUAAAGAUAUAUUGGUGAUUGAAAGACUUAAUCAUGCUAAAAUGCCAAUACUAUCCAAAACCAUCUACAGAUCUAACAUAGUCUUUAUCAAAAUCCCCAAAAUUUCUUGUCUUACGCUGAGUUAGAAAAAUUCACCUUAAAAUUCAUAUAGAUCUCUCGAGUCCAGGAGUUCAAGGUUGCAGUGAGCCAUGAUUAUGCCACUGCACUCCAGCCUGGGUGACAGAGCGAGACCCUGUCUCAAAAACAUAAAUAAAUAAAUAAAUGGAGAAAAAUUUAUAUAGACUCUUAAGGGACCACCAAGAGCCAAAAUAAUCUUGAAAAAAGAAGAAAGUUGGACGUCUCACACUUCCUGAUUUCAAAACUUGUUACAAAGCUAAAUGAAUUAAAACUGUGGUAUUGGCAUAAACACAGAUAAAUAGACCAAUGGAACAGAAUAGAGAUCCCAGAAAUAAACUCUUGGAUAUACGGUCAAAUGAUUUUCAACAAGGGUGUCAAAACCAUUAAAUGGGAAAGAACAGUCUUUUCAACAAAAGAUAUUGCAAAAACUGGAUAUCCACAUGCAAAA